rnacentral:rRNA from 1 species
UCAUACAUUUAAAAAGUGAGACUGCAGACGGCUCAGUAAAUCAGUUAUAAUCUGCUCCGUUGUUAAGGUUAGUGGAUAACCGUGGGAAAUCUAGAGCUAAUACAUGCACCACGUGGCAGCAAUGUCACUGCAUUUAUUGGAAAAAACCAACCGUAUCCUUCGGGAACGAGUUGAAUCUAGAUAACUAGCAGAUCGUAUGGCUUUGAGCUGACGACGUUCGGAUUGAAUUUCUGCCCUAUCAACUUUUGUUGGUUGCGUAGUGGACAACCAAGGUGUUGACGGGUAACGGGGAAUCAGGGUUUGAUUCCGGAGAGGGAGCCUGAGAAACGGCUACCACAUCCAAGGAGGGCAGCAGGCGCGCAAAUUACCCAAUCCAGACAAUGGGAGGUGGUGACGAAAUGUACCGAGUGGCGGUCAUAAGACUGUCAGUUCGGAAUGAAAGCAAUUUAAGCAAUUGAUAUGAGUAACUACUGGAGGGCAAGUCUGGUGCCAGCAGCCGCGGUAAUUCCAGCUCCAGUGGCGUAUCUCAACGUUGCUGCGCUUAAAACGCUCGUAGUUGGAUUGUACAUUUGAUCUUGGUGUUUUGUUGGGUGCCGCGCAGAGCCUUGAAAGUAGGUUUUGAUGCGUUCUCGUGUCUGACUGAAAUUAGGGUGGUGGUAUUUCGGCAAAUUAUCCAGUUGUAAAAUAGUGGCAUGUGGGGAUGGCUAUUGACCUUUAGUGCGUUGAUAGUCGUGGCUCACGGGGUGUGCCUUGAGUAAAUCAGAGUGCUUAAAGCAGGCUUGACGCUUGAAUGUUAUUAGCAUGGCAUAAACAUUUGUGUACGGUGUGCGCUGGUCCAAGUGCAUUGGUAGAUGACUGCCUUUGUGCUCAGUGCACGACACCGACCGCCAAUAACGGAUGUUGGUUCCGUAUUGGGGUACUGAUUAAGAGGAGCGAUUGGGGGCAUUGGUAUUUGUCAGCGAGAGGUGAAAUUCUGUGACCUGACAAGGACUAACAAAUGCGAAAGCAUCUGUCCAGAUCGUGUCCAUUAAUCAAGAACGAUAGUGAGGGGUUCGAAAACGAUCAGAUACCGUUGUAGUCCUCACCAUAAACUAUGCCAACUCGGGAUCAGUUACGAGCUGCUAUGCUAUGCUCGAAGUUGGCCCCCCUGGGAAACUUGAAGUUUUUCGGUUGCGGGGGGAGUAUGGUCGCAAGGCUGAAACUUAAAGGAAUUGACGGAAGGGCACCACCAGGGGUGGAGCCUGCGGCUUAAUUUGACUCAACACGGGAAAACUUACCCGGUCCGAACAUCAAUAUGAUAGACUGACUAAAAGAUCAUUCUUGAUCUGAUGACUAGUGGUGCAUGGCCGUUCUUAGUUCGUGGUGUGAACCGUCUGGUUGAUUCCGAUAACGAACGAGACUGCGUUCUCCAUUUGAUGUGCCGGAGAAGGCAUUGCUUUGGUCGUAGUUGCUUCGGUGGCUGCUCCAGAGUGUAUGUCGUAGGCAGUGCGUGGGGUAGAGUGGCGCGCAAGUGUUGCUUUGCUCUGUGUGCUCCCUCCGUAAAAGCUGGACGCGUUUCGCAAGAAAUGUGUGUAGUGUCAUGGAGAGACUGCGAAAUAUAUUAAAAUUCGAGGAAGUGCGGCAAUAACAGGUCUGUGAUGCCCUUAGAUGUUCGGGGCUGCACGCGCGCUACAAUGGUGGUGACAACGAGUGUCUGAAUCGAAAGAUUUGGGUAACCUUAUAAUCACCACCGUGAUGGGGACUGGCGUUUGUAAAUACGCCACGAAAGAGGAAUCCCUAGUACGUGUGAUUCAUGAGAUCG